CUAACACCACUGUUCAUGAAGUUGCAGCACAAGGCUUAACGAUUUGAAGAGUUCCCAAGUUUAAAGUUUGCUGUAUUAGUUCCUUUUUUCAUAAAUGGAGAAACUAUUUAGUUUUGUGAUUGUUAUGCUGUUAUAUCCAUAUCUAGUCAGCAAUACUCCUAUGGAUCGCAGCGAGGCAGAUGUAAUAUCUGUAGCCAGUGCGACUGGGGAUAGCCCUAACCAUAUUCCGUCCAUAAAAGAUUUAUUUUGGGCAAAAGGAAACCUUUUCUGCCGCCAGCUCUUAAAGGAUUGCACAGAAUACGUUGACCUCCUCCCUCCAGCCUCAUCACAGCUUACAAAACCAGCAAUGGCAUUGGGAUUAAUGCAGGUUGGCUGCUUAGCUGAAACAGACCAGUUUUAUUUGGAUUUGCUAAGGGAUGAAGACACAAGAAAGAUGUUUCACUUGUUAACUGAGCUGUUCCAAACCUCUACACACUAAACUCCUGGCCAACGUCACCAUAGACAAAAGCAUGUUCUUGAGCUUGACUUACUGAAGUACAACUUAGAAUCUCUGUUUCCCGCUGCUAUGUCUACACAUCAUCAGCACUGCUCUGGUUUCCAGCAGGGGCGCACAAAUGUUUUCUUGAAUGGUUUGGACCUUGGGUUACAUUCAUCUCUACAGGAGGCAAAAGAGCACUGUGAUAGGGUGGGUCCUUCCUGUGCGGGUGUUUCUCAAGAUGGAAAGGGAGAAUUUCACAGUGUAACAAGAUAUGGUGGGUAUAUUAUGCCUCAGAAUGGAACAAGGUUGUGGCUGCAACAGUGUACUGCUGAACAUCGAAGAAGGCGUUCCUCUGAUCCCGAGUGCCAUAGUGAGAGAGAAUUGCGCAUCUAUAAUGUUAUGCAGUGGGUUCCAGUUGUCAGUGGCUGGUACAAUGCUGGAAGUGCCAUUUACUAUGCCACACAGGGAUGUGCAGUGCAAGCUGAGAACCGGGGAAUUGAAGCAUCAGUUGAUCUAGGCUCUGAUGCUCUUCUUAUAGCCACUGGGGGAACAUCCCGAGCUGUUACAGUGGGUAUAGGUCUGGCUAUAAAACCUGCAUUAAAAGCAGGUGUGAAGGCAGCUAUAGAUUACUUUAAAAAUGAUUCGGAGUAAUAUAAUUUUAAUAUAUAUGGCAGUGGUUCCCAAACUUUUUUGAAUCCCAGCACCCUAGAGUAUCAGAAUUUUCUUCACAGCACCCUCAAUAUGAAAAACAGGAAAAUGUCUCUUCCAGUGUAAUGCUACAUGUUCUAAAGCAGGAUCUUUAUUUAGAGGUUUGUAUAAAAUUAUGACAGUGACUCGGGUUCAUGUACUAAGCAACUUUAGCAACCAGUAGCCAUAAUCACCAGCUUUUCUUUCUGUUCAGUGUUAUAAUCACUUUUACAUUGCAAGAUGGGUCUAAAGUCUUCCUGCUAUUAUCAAUGUUGCUUUUCCAAGGCUUUUGGGUACACAACAAUUUUUGUUUUCCCAGUUUCCCACCUCUAUUUUUGUUAUUUCAGGUCACUGAACUAUUGUUAUUUCUGUCAGUUAUUACAGUUCAUUAAAGUUUUCAUCCAAAUCCAUCCAGUGGAAAUUUACAGAA